rnacentral:rRNA from 1 species
GACAGAGGGUGCAAACGUUGUUCGGAAUUACUGGGCGUAAAGCGCGUGUAGGCGGUCGGGUAAGUCGGAUGUGAAAGCCCCAGGCUCAACCCGGGAAGUGCAUUCGAUACUACUUGGCUAGAGUACUGGAGAGGAUGGUGGAACUCUCGGUGUAGAGGUGAAAUUCGUAGAUAUCGAGAAGAACACCGGCGGCGAAGGCGGCCAUCUGGACAGAUACUGACGCUGAGACGCGAAAGCGUGGGAGCAAACAGGAUAGAAACCC